rnacentral:rRNA from 1 species
GACGAACGCUGGCGGCGUGCUUAACACAUGCAAGUCGAGCGGUAAGGCCCUUCGGGGUACACGAGCGGCGAACGGGUGAGUAACACGUGAGUAAUCUGCCCAUCACUUCGGGAUAACUCCGGGAAACCGGUGCUAAUACCGAAUAUGACCACUUCAGGCAUCUGAUGGUGGUGGAAAGUUCCGGCGGUGAUGGAUGAGCUCGCGGCCUAUCAGCUUGUUGGUGGGGUAGUGGCCUACAAAGGCUUCGACGGGUAGCCGGCCUGAGAGGGUGACCGGCCACACUGGGACUGAGACACGGCCCAGACUCCUACGGGAGGCAGCAGUGGGGAAUAUUGGACAAUGGGCGAAAGCCUGAUCCAGCAACGCCGCGUGAGGGAUGACGGCCUUCGGGUUGUAAACCUCUUUCAGCAGGGACGAAGCGGAAGUGACGGUACCUGCAGAAGAAGCACCGGCCAACUACGUGCCAGCCGCCGCGGUAAUAC